rnacentral:rRNA from 1 species
UACGUAGGGCGCAAGCGUUGUCCGGAAUUAUUGGGCGUAAAGAGCUCGUAGGCGGUUUGUCGCGUCUGUCGUGAAAGCUUGGGGCUUAACCCCAAGUCUGCGGUGGAUACGGGCAGACUAGAGGCAGGUAGGGGAGAACGGAAUUCCCGGUGUAGCGGUGAAAUGCGCAGAUAUCGGGAGGAACACCGGUGGCGAAGGCGGUUCUCUGGGCCUGUACUGACACUGAGGAGCGAAAGCGUGGGUAGCAAACAGG